rnacentral:rRNA from 1 species
AUACGGAGGGUGCAAGCGUUACUCGGAAUCACUGGGCGUAAAGCGCGCGCAGGCGGCUUGAUAAGUUGGAUGUCAAAGCCUACGGCUCAACCGUAGAACUGCAUCCAAAACUAUUAGACUAGAGUGUGGGAGAGGAAGAUGGAAUUAGUUGUGUAGGGGUAAAAUCCGUAGAGAUAACUAGGAAUACCAAAAGCGAAGGCAAUCUUCUGGAACACUACUGACGCUGAGGCGCGAAAGCGUGGGGAGCAAACAGGAUUAGAUACCCCUGUAGUCC